UUCUCCAGCAUUCUCUCUCUCUCUCCACGGUCACCAUUAUUGAUCCAACACAUCACAUCCAUUGUCAACUUCAUCACUUAUGUGACCCCAGACAGAGAAUCCAUCUUGCACCACUUUCUUUCUCACAUUCAUACCUAUUCCAUCUUCUACCUCUAACUGUUUCUGUGCGUCUGUGAAUCCUUGUGUCAUUAUCUUUAUUGAAAAAAAGCUGUUUUGAGGUGAAGAAUCUCCAAGAUUAUUGAACUGUCCACAACUAGUUCUUUGCUAACAUGGUUCUCUUCCAGUAUUCAUCAGAUUUGCUGGAUCACUUUUCUAUAGAAAAGUAUAAUUAACAACAAUAAAAUCACCUGAUACUUGAAUUGAGUAAUAUGUUCUAAUAUCUAUGGACUUGCAUAACUUCAUGCUAUAAAGUCCAGUUUGAGGAUGCAAGACUCAUUGCUUUUCUCUUCCUCUCUUUGGUUUUGGCUAUAAGACUCUCUUCUCAUAGUUCCUGCUCUUUAGGCUCCAGAUGCUAUCUAUAAAUGUUUGGAAGGCAGAGUUAUCUCUGAGAUACUAAACACAAAAAAGUAAAUAUUUCCCCUAUAUAUUGUGAUGUGUCUGAUAUAUAAUGUAACCAUUCACGUGUCUGAUAUAUAAUUGAGGACGAAUAUCUUGCCACUGUUUGGGUAGUUUAUGUUCGUAGUCUUUGUUUCUGAUAUAUCUGAUUUAAUAUAUUUUCUCAAAAUUAACUGUAA